GACGAACGCUGGCGGCGCGCUUAACACAUGCAAGUCGAACGGAAAGGCCUGCUUUCCCUUGUGGAUUGCGGGUACUCGAGUGGCGAACGGGUGAGUAACACGUGAGUGAUCUGCCCCCAACUUGGGUAUAAGCCUGGGAAACUGGGUCUAAUUCCCGAUAGGACUGCAGGGUGGUGCCUGUGGUGGAAAACGAUUUUCUAGUGGUUGGGGAUGAGCUCGCGGCCUAUCAGCUUGUUGGUGGGGUAAUGGCCUACCAAGGCGGCGACGGGGAGCCUGCCUGAGGGGGGGGACGGGCACAUUGGGAAUUGGAUAACGCCCCGGACCCUACGGGGGGCAGGAGGGGGGAAUAAUGCACAAUGGGCGGAAGCCUGAUGCAGGGACGCCGCGUGGGGGAUGACGGCCUUCGGGUUGUAAACUCCUUUCGACCGCGAGGAAGCCACCUGGUUGGAAGGGUGGUGACGGUAGUGGUAGAAGAAGCACCGGCUAACUACGUG
rnacentral:rRNA from 1 species